rnacentral:lncRNA from 1 species
CUCUUCUUCAGCUUGAAAGAUCGGAUUUUCAAAGUCGAAGCGAGCCAUAGCAGAACCGUUAUCAAUAGGAUCCGGUGACGUGCAUCUGCAUGAGUGAUGGUAUGUGCUUAUGAGUGUGAACAGUGAGUGAAAACUAAACAAAACAUUGCCAAAUAUUUUUUGAUUUUUGGUUUUUGAAAACUGCAAAAAUAGAAAGACAGUGAACAAAAUUUUGAAUGCAAAAGACGUCCUUUAUUUAUGAUAAAAAAUGCAAGUAGUCACAUAGAUGAGCCCUACAAUGAGUCAUUACGCCCUGGGCGGAACGUAAGACUUGGACAUGCAUGAACAAACAAGAAAAAUUACUCUUCAAGAAGAGUGACUUGAACAAUCUCCUCAGAAGACCAAUUGUUGAUGACCUCACCCGGGAUCCUCGGACGCAUCCAGUUGUCAAUGUCGCAAUCACUAUCCCCGGCUUCUUCGUUGAUUGUUAAUAUCUGGCCAUACUGAAUGAUGCCAGCACUGGAGAAAGUAAUCGGCCCCUGACGAGUCUGAGGCGCUGAAGUUGUAGAAGUAAGAGCUGGCUGAUACCCAAUCCCGAACUUGUCUUCUUUCAUCGGUAACUCCAACAGACGUCCCCAACCGGGAGCAACACCUGAAUCUACCACUGCUUGUGCCUGCUUGAAGGACGAGAUAGAGGCACCUACUUUAACCUCUUCCACCGGAGCUGCAUCCCUGACUUGGUCAUCAACUGUCUUUAUGGUCAUCCAGUUAUGGACAAUUUUUGAUCAACAAUAAAGCAAUCGACUCUACAUCUAGGGUCCAUAGUGGUUUCAGGUAGAAGGAUGGUAUACACCACUAUCACCAUGAGAAUAACUUAUGACACUUUGCAUAACAUUCUAUGUAGUAUUCUCAUAGCGGGUCAAUCCAGUAUAAAUAUUACUCCUGAUAUUCAUACAUAUGUUUAAGACUUGAUAACUCUUUAUCCAUGAUCCAUGAGAUGUGAUCAUCAGUCUAUAUACAUAAUAGUCUCAAUGCUUUAAUAUUAUCUCACUUCAUAACAAAGCUCGACUAUGGAUACUUUAAGAAUAAUGACCUUAUGUUUAAUGGGAUCUCAUGAUUAAGUCACACUUGAUACAUUAAACAGACUAGCUAGUCUAGGGACUUUAUUAAACAAACAUAAUAAAGAAUUUUUUUUUAUUAUUAAUAAAUAAUUUGAUACAAGUACCGAAAAUAUUGGCCUCUAGGGCUUACACCAAAGAUGUUUACCUAGAAUAAUACAUUCUUUACAUAGAAUAUUAAAAUAAAAAUUAAUUAGUCUAUAAAGAUCAUAUGUUAGAUCUUUGAAUCCUUGAUAUUUGAGCAAGAUGAAAUGUUGGGUGCGAAUAUAUUCGCAAUGGCUUUAUCUCACAUGGAUUUAUUUCUGAUAUAAAAAAAAGACUUGAUAAAAAAAGGGUUGAUAAAAAAAAGGUUAGAUAAAUAAAUGAUUUUUGCUCAAAUAAAUAUUUAAGAACACAGUCCUUAAACCCAAAUAAUUUUAUGCUCUUGCAAUCCAUCUUAGCGAUCUUUUCAUGGCAAAUGAUCUUCCAAAUCUUAAAGAUGUGGAUGUAGAUAGUUUCAAGCGCUUCAUGAUGAUUCACUUGCUUCUUCAUAUUCAUAAAUAUGCUUUUAUAAUGUAAUUUUUUUAUGUUUCACGCGGAUCACUAAUGGUAGUGUCUUGAGCAUUGAUAGUCAUGAAAUAAACCAUAAAUAUUUGAUCAACAUAAUCACUCAUGGUUUUUUAUGUUUAGGUAACAUACUUUAACCCUCGUUUUAAUAGAAAAUUGAGGUAAAUAAUUUAUUUAUUUUUAUAUUUCAUUAAUUAUAAAGAAUAUUAACAAAAUUUUAUUAUUUUAUAGUAAAAUCUGUUUAUUUUAUCUCUCGGUUAUUAGGGCGACCGACGUGAUAGAUCAUUUAGUUUACAAAUAAAAAAGAAAGAUUCAUGGAUUGUUGGUAAUAUGUGGUUUUUCCCCUCGGUAAUAUGAAAAACCCAAGGUAAUAUAUGGUUUUUAUAUUUUUUUUUAAAUAAAACAUUGUGCCUUGGAAUCAUAUCACUAGAAUAAUAAUUAUCAUCCCUAUUUAAAACGUAACGUAUCUUUUGGAUUUUCAAGGAUGUGUUUGAGCUUCUCUGAUUAUUUCACUUCCUCUUUUUCAACUUAUUUAUACACUAUUAAGGUCUCAUUUCAUUUUCAUUUCUUUAUGUCUUCAAAUCUAAUUUAAAUGUCUUUUCUUUUUAUUCAAAAAAUGUCUACAAAAACCUUCAACAGAGAUGGAAAUGUUUUGUUCGUUAUCAAUGAAAAAUUUGUUAAGUUCGAUGAGUUGAAAGACAAAGAUUUUGAUCUAAUGAAAACUAUUUCCAAACAAAAGUUGAAAGGUUACUUUAACAUGCUUCAUGGACUCAUCUACACUAAUCUCAUAACAGAAUUCUGGUUAAAUACCUCUGUUAGGCAAUCUAGUCAGACAAUACAGUCCAAUGUAUAUGAAUUUCCUAUAACUAUUACUCGGACACUUAUUGCUCAGACAAUAAAGCGUGACGAGAAAGGUAGUUAUGUUGAACAUUGUAGAUUCAAAAAUUUCUUCUCAACCCACCUUCGCCUCAUUUAUGUCAACUACAAUAAGCUCAUCAGUUCUGAUACUCUCAUCCCAAUUGCAAAAGCUUGACAUUAACUUCUAGUGUCAAAUCUCCAUCAAAGAGAGAAACAACUAGAAAUGCUUAUUUCAGAUGACAAACAUCUUUUGUACUUCCUUAUCCAUAACGUCAAAAUUAAUCUUCCUCUUAUUAUUUUUAACUUCUUAAUGGAAAUGGUUGUGACCUCUCGCGAGGAAAUGACUUUCCUCAUACCAUAUGGAAGAGUUUUUUCUGAACUUUUCUCUCAGUUAGGGAUAGUUAAAAGGGUAAAAAGAGCAUGAUUAACUAUUGAAGUUGAGUGGAGAUAGAAGUUUGAAUAUGUGGAAUAUUUAUCUGUUGUCCUGUUUUUUUGUAAUAUGUAAUUGAUUAUCAAUGAAAUUUUUUCUUUCCUUUUCAAUCGUAGAUUGCCUAACAUUUUUUAUGAUAGCAAAUAUUUUGAGUUUUACUAAUUAACUUAUUAAGAAAUGAAGAAAAAAAAUUUAACAAAGAAAAUAUGGAAACUGGAAAGGCGUCAAGUGAGAAAUAGUAAUUAAACCAUUAAGAAAAAAACAUAAAAAUGAAGUAACCGGGAUUUGAAGCGACCUCCCUAAUAUUUAUAUUCCAAAAAACCGAGGUAAUAGGUUAUAUUAAAAAUAAAAUAACGCUCCCUUAUAGAUAUCUUCCCUCGGUUUUAUGGAAAACUAAGGUAACAAGUUGUUAGUUUGACGCUACCAGGAACUAUACUCUCGGUUUUUAGCAUGUUCGAGGUGAAAGUUUCAUCAUAAAAAGUGUUAUUUAUAGUAGUGACACUAAAAAAUUUAUGGCACUAACCUUGAUAUAUCCUUCCACAUUUUUUGUGCGAUUGCUCUUGUUUUUUCAGCCAUUUAUUAGACCCCAAACCCUAAGUUUUGACCUCUAAGAGUCCCAAAAUAUACCAUACAUCACUGUACAUGAAAACAUAUGAAUAUUUAUCAUAUUUUAACAUCUAACUCAAUAAUACAUCAUUUAUCUAUGACUAACAUACAAUUCACACAAUUCAUCAUGGAUUCAUCGUAGCAACACAUAUAAGCACAAGGUCCAUCAAUAAUCUUCAAUAAUUCAUCAAAAAUCAUUUAUAAGAAGAAAAAACUAAGAACCCUAAUGAGGUUAAGGCUCCUCAUCACUACCCCAUCAUGAAAUACGCCUAAUUGGUAGCCAUUUCUCCCUUUACCUUAGAUUUCUAGCAAUUUAUGUCAAAACAAGCAACUUUUAUGGCUUGCCUCUUCAAAAUCCUAGCUUUUGCUCUUCUCCCUUCCAAAAGCUCUUUCUCUCCUCUUUGCCUUCUAUCUCAAUUUUCACGUACUGAUAAAACUAGGCAAGUCUCCUCUUACUCCCAAUAUAUCCUUAUGGUUUUCUACACUACUAUUUCCAAUUACCUCAUUAAUCCCCAAUGUUCUUAAUUCACAUUAUUUCCCAACUCCCUAACUUCUUGCUCCUCUCUAUUUCUCCAAAUCCCAUAAAUGGUCCAAUUCUAUCAUUUUACUAUUUUAUUUAAUUAAUCUAAAUAAAAUUUUAUUUAUUCUAAUAAUUAAUUAAAGUUCUAGUUAAUUCUAAACAAUCACAUUAAACUCUUACUCUCUUUAUACCUCUACUUCAAAGACACUUACCCCCAUCACCACACAACAAAUAAUUAAAACACCAAUCAAUCAAAUAAAAUUAUAAAUAAUCUAAUUAAAAUAAUUCAUCGAAUUUGGAGAUUUACAUCCUACAUUUUCGGCAAUAUAAUUUUCUCAUCAUAAACAUCUAUGUCUUCAAAUCCUUGAAUGUUAAAUUCUUUAGCCUUCUUCCAUGUAAUCGCAACAACAUCUUCUAAUCUUCUUUUCCAGAAUCUUGAAUUACCUCUCACCAUGUCAGAAUCUGACAUGGACUAACAACACAAUGCUAUUCCUCUUGAGAAAUUAUCUUGCGUUGAGCGAAAAAGAUCAAUUGGAACCUUUGUUCCACCUAUAAUCUCCUUCUGAAAAUGCAAAUAAGAAGGCCAAAUGUAAAAAAUAAGAGUCUUGAGCAACGUCAACCCCUUUAGCGUUCAAAAACGAUGAAACACCCCUUGUUUUUUUCGGGCUUCUUUAGGGCUUGGGUUUGAUGAUUCCCAAAGCAACUACUUGCACACGACUGAUUUGGUAGAACUACUCUUUUAUUAAAAUUGGAUAUCCUUUUUGUUUUGUUAAUUUUUCAAUUUUUUAUAUUUUGAAUUAAAAUGUUUGAAUUUUUGGUUGAAGAACCUUGUGUAAAGAUGAUGAAGAUUUGUGAAUAUGAUGAUGGAGGUAGAGAUUAAGGAAGUCAAUUAAAAAGAUAUAAAAAAUUUAUGAUUCAUUAUUAUAUUAACAGAAAUAAUAUAUUUACAUCUGAUUGUACACCUACAUCAUAUCAAAAUAUAUAUAUAUAUAUAUAUAUAUAUACAUUAAUAAAUUUAUUUGAAAUAUUAUGAUAUUAAAUAAUUUUAAAAAUAAUAUAUAAAAUUAUUAUUAUUGUUAUUUAAAUUAAAGAGGUAUCGAUAUAAAAAUGUGUGAUUAAUCAACUUUAUAAUUUUAUUAACUAACAUUUUAUAUUUUAUUAAUCAAUUUUAUUUUAUUAAUAAAAAUUAUUUUUAAUAUCUUAAAAUUUAUUAAUCAACUUCAUCACUUUACUAACCAAUUUUUUAAUUUUCAUUAAACAACUUUAUUUUACUAUUAAAAACUCCUUUUUAAUAUCUAAGCGUUUAUUAACCAACUUCAUCACUUUAUUAAUCUAUUUUUUAUAUUUUAUUAACCAAUUUUAUUUUACUAUAAAAUAAACAUUGUUCAUGCACUAUGCACGAACACAUAGGUACUAUUCACAUGUGUACACGGGUACUGUUCACACAUAGGUACUAUUCACAUGAUAUUGUUUUCACAUGAUAUUGUUCAUAUAUUGUUCAUGUAUUUUUCAUUGUUCAUGAUCUUGUUCACUGUAUUUGUGAAUAAUACAUACGGUAUAGUAUAUGAUAUUGAAUAAUACAUACGGUAUAGUAUAUGAUAUUGAUGUAAACAUAACACUCAUCUUAUAUUAAAUAGACUUUCACUGUAUUCAUCACUUUAUUAACCAAUUUUUUACUUUUCAUUAAACAACUUUAUUAUACGGUAUAGUAUAUGAUAUUGAUGUAAACAUAACACUCAUCUUAUAUUAAAUAGACUUUCACUGUAUUCAUCACUUUAUUAACCAAUUUUUUACUUUUCAUUAAACAACUUUAUUUUACUAUUAAAAACUCUUCUUUAAUAUCUAAGCGUUUAUUAACCAACUUCCUCACUUUAUUAAUCAAUUUUUUAUAUUUUAUUAACCAAUUUUAUUUUACUAUAAAAUAAACAUUGUUCAUGCACUAUGCACGAACACAUAGGUACUAUUCACAUGUGUACAGGGGUACUGUUCACACAUAGGUACUAUUCACAUGAUAUUGUUUUUACAUGAUAUUGUUCAUAUAUUGUUCAUGUAUUUUUCAUUGUUCAUGAUCUUGUUCACUGUAUUUGUGAAUAAUACAUACGGUAUAGUAUAUGAUAUUGAUGUAAACAUAACACUCAUCUUAUAUUAAAUAGACUUUCACUGUAUUCAUCACUUUAUUAACCAAUUUUUUACUUUUCAUUAAACAACUUUAUUAUACGGUAUAGUAUAUGAUAUUGAUGUAAACAUAACACUCAUCUUAUAUUAAAUAGACUUUCACUGUAUUCAUCACUUUAUUAACCAAUUUUUUACUUUUCAUUAAACAACUUUAUUUUACUAUUAAACUCUUCUUUAAUAUCUAAGCGUUUAUUAACCAACUUCAUCACUUUUAUUAAUCAAUUUUUUUAUAUUUUAUUAACCAAUUUUAUUUUACUAUAAAAAAAACAUUGUUCAUGUACUAUGCACGAACACAUAGAUACUAUUCACAUGUGUACAGGGGUACUGUUCACACAUAGGUACUAUUCACAUGAUAUUGUUUUCACAUGAUAUUGUUCAUAUAUUGUUCAUGUAUUUUUCAUUGUUCAUGAUCUUGUUCACUAUAUUUGUGAAUAAUACAUACGGUAUAGUAUAUGAUAUUGAUGUAACAUAACACUCAUCUUAUAUUAAAUAGACUUUCACUGUAUUCAUCACUUUAUUAACCAAUUUUUUACUUUUCAUUAAACAACUUUAUUUUACUAUUAAAAACUAUUCUUUAAUAUCUAAGCGUUUAUUAACCAACUUCAUCACUUUAUUAAUCAAUUUUUUAUAUUUUAUUAACCAAUUUUAUUUUACUAUAAAAAAAACAUUGUUCAUGCACUAUGCACGAACACAUAGGUACUAUUCACAUGUGUACAGGGGUACUGUUCACACAUAGGUAUUAUUCACAUGAUAUUGUUUUCACAUGAUAUUGUUCAUAUAUUGUUCAUGUAUUUUUCAUUGUUCAUGAUCUUGUUCACUGUAUUUGUGAAUAAUACAUACGGUAUAAUAUAUGAUAUUGAUGUAAACAUAACACUCAUCUUAUAUUAAAUAGACUUUCACAAUUCAAACGAAUAACAUUUAGCGAAAAUAUUCAAUAGUUAAAAAGAAAAAAGUAAAUUUAUAUUGGAUUAUCAAUAAUAUUCUUCCACUUUAAAUAUUUAGAAUUGAAAUUUGAAGGAAUAAACUAAUUUGACUAAUAAAGAUUAAACUAUAAUGUAACAUAUAUUAAUUAUGAAAUUAAUAUAAAUUAAAUAAUUAAGUUAAAGAAAUAAAUUAUAAUUAAACUUUUUAUAUAUUUUUUUAAUUUGUGUAGAUUCACAUGUGGACCGGCUAUUUUCAAAUAAAAAACAUAAAUUUUAAUAAACUACUUAUUGUUGUUGUAGUUGAGUCAAAUAAAUAAAUAAAGGGUAAUGCUAACUUGUGCCAUAAAGAAACAAAGUUUUGGAAAUUGUGGAUUGAUCGUUCUCUGCACUAUGCACGAACACAUAGGUACUAAUUUAAAAAGAGUAUUAUUAAAUCUCUGGGAAAAAACUAUUGAUCGUUCUCCUCUAUAUCUUUUAGCUUUGAUCUUCGUGUCACUAAUAUGAAUAUAAGGAGCUAAUUAUAAAUAUAACUAUCACAUGUAAAAAAAAACCCUCCCCACAACCAAUCUUACAAAUAAAUUUAGCUUUGAGGACUUCGCUUUAACUAUACGCUAAAUAUAUGAAGAAUUUUGAGUCACAUUACAUACAUUUUCUUUUCCUUCUUAAUUUUAUUUCAAGAUCUCCCUCUUCAUCUUCAAACUUGUUAAUAAAUCCUUAAAAAUGUAAAGAGUAUUAAAAUAUAUCAUUUUCUAUAUAGUUAUGCUCAAAUCUAAUUUUUUACUUACUAAUAGAAGUUUGUAAUAUUAAUAAAAUAUAUAUUUAAAUAAUAAUAAGUAUAACUAAUAAUUUAAAUUUUAGCUUAUAUUCAAGAACAAAGAGUUUUUAUAAAGUUUAUAAUUAUGACCUAGAUAUUAUACUAAUAAACUUAUUUUAUGUUAAAUAAUAAUAAGUAUAACUAAUAAUUUAAAAUUUAGCUUAUAUUCAAGAACAAAGAGUUUUUAUAGAGUUUAUAAUUAUGAUCUAUAUAUUAUACUAAUAAACUUAUUUUAUGUUAAAUCUGGUUUACCACAUGUCAAAGUUUGAAAGUUUAGUCGGUACUUGAUUUAUAAUUAUUAACAGUAGUUUUCUUGUUCUUUAAGUGGUUAUUCAGAGGGAGAAAUUAUGUCAAUCAUAUGUGUGGGUUCCUUAUCUACUUUAAAGAAUGUUAAAUAUGUAUAUGAGAAGUUGAACUAAUAUUCUAAGAAAUGCAUAAAAAAUAAAAGAAACUAAAAGACAUAAAAUGCGUAAAAUAAUUUAUUUUAUUGAUCAAAUCUUGUUAACUAUUUACAAAGUGUGACAUUUAUAGAGGAAAUUGUCACACUAGUCAUAUCACUGUGACAAGUAAACAAUGUUCUCACGAUCAAAUAUUUAUGUGGGUAAUGCGUGAGUGUUUAUACUAAUUUAGGAUAUGUGACACCUCACAUUUCCUAACAUGUAGUUAUAGAAUCAACGCUUUAUUUGGUUAAUGGAGCUAGAAACACUAAAUGUAGACAUAAUCCCAACUAUCCAGUCUUAUUGUGCUUUUGAAUGUGUUUAGAUUCUUUUCAUCCAUAAUAGACAUAGUAGAUAUGAUAAAGAUUUGGUUAGCUCAUGUUCAGGUUUUUUAUACUCAUCUGACUCUUCCUGGGUUGGGAAACCUUCGAUUAGUCCUAAACUCUUCUAUUUGCCAAAUUUCAACUGAUGUUUUAGCUUUUUAGGUGUAAACAAAUGUAUUAAUGUAUUUCAUUGUCAAGUAAUCUUCUCGAUUAUCAAAAGUAUUCUAUUGAGUCUAAUGUCUUUCUUUUUUGGGCAUAUUCUCUAGAUAAGUUGGUUUUUGUACCCCUAUCAAGAAGCAUGGAUUCUUCUUCCCAAAAUUAAAAUCUUGCUAUAUCCUUUUUCCAUGUGCAAGACAAUGUUACUUUAUAUCCUUAUACACGUGAUGUGGCUUCUAGAGCUUUCUUCUUUGAACCCACUAAAUCAAUACUUCCUUUUUAUUAUGUUUGGUUACUACCAAAAGAAAGUCGACUGAGUUUACAACACAUCCUCAUCCAUCUAUUGAUAAUCUAACUUGACUUUGUAGGGUUGAAGUUUCUAAAUGACACAUUUAGAAGAGAACGAGUAUUUAAAAGAUGAACAUGAUUCCUAGGAAAGAUGUGAGGAUUGAUGUGGAACAUCUUUUUAGCCUCCUAGUAUAUUGGUUUGCAAUUUGUAAUUCUUUUUUCAGUUGGGAUAUCAUGACCCAAUUACCUUGAUGUAAUCAUCAUCAUUGGCUUGCCCACCCUCAAAAUUGAGGCUUGUAAAACCCAUGAUACUCAUAUCCCUUCUCAAGAUUUUUAAUUUUUGAGGGAUAUUUCCAACUACGAUGCCUUUUUGAAUCAUAACAUUUGAACCACAAAGAAUAUUACAAAAGUAGAGCGUAAUGUGUUUUUGCUCUUCUAGUUUAGCAAAUUUUUUCGUUUGCACAAGUUUUGUAGUCGUCGUUUAGGAAUUGAAAUUAUAUGUUGCUUUAUUGUAGUCCAACUCAAUUAUAACAAAGGGAUAUUUUCUUAUGUUCUCCUAUACCAUUCCUUACACACCAUAAUAGUUUGGUUGAUGGGGAACUCAGAAAUAAAGAACGUGAGUGGGCUACUCUAGUUCCACCAACUCUACUCUUUGCUAUACUUUUUACGGGUUUUGAUUAAAGAAUUUAAUCUUAGCUUAAUUCCAGAAAUGAAAAACAUUAAGGAGAAUACUAAAAUGUUUUGCAAAUGAUAAUGACUUUUUCUCUUCCAUCGUGAUUUGGUUAUUGCCAUUGACCUAUAAUUAACCCAGUUGAAUCUCAGACGUGUUAAAAGAGUGCAACCUGUCUUGGACGUUCGAUGUAGAAAACGAAACCCUUUUGCAUCAAUCAUUAUAAACUAUUAAUAAUAACUGGUCGAGAAUCCGGACAAAAAGAGUUUUGCUAUACGAACUUCACCCUAAUAAAAGGAAGAAAAAGAUUUCAGUUGAAUGGAUAAUAGACAAUUUUGUAGUUCCAUGGAUAAUAGACAAUAACCUUAAUACAACCGAUGUGGAAAAAAUGUGUUAACUAAGCAUAAAAAAAAUCACUCAUUUUUUGAUGACAGCAUUUCUUGUUCCAUAGGAGAAACAAACUGCUUUGCAAAUUGGUGGCAUCUUUUAAAAGGCAAUGUCUAUAAGGAGGUGAUCCUUUAAGGCUUUGAGUUUUGCUUGCUAAUUUAGAUAUGAUUCUCCCAAAUACAUAUGAGAAACAUGUUACAUUAAAAUCCUUUAAUUAAAUUACUAAGUGAGUUGGGAAUUAUUCACACACAAGCAAAAUCUUUAAUUUGAAUAUUAUGAGAAAUAUAUAGAUUAACUUUAAAAGCAUCAUUUAUGAUAGAAAUCCAAACUUCUAGAUUUGUCUUAGUGAGUUAAUUUAUAUAAGCUUCAUGACUAUGAAUAUCAUGAGCAAUAACUCUUGUAUGAGAAGAAAUAUAAUGCCACCAUUCAACACAAAGAUUUGAAUAUUGUGUAAUGUAGUUUAUAAUAAGAUAGUUAAAUAAAUGUAUGCGCUCGGUGUAAAAGAAACUAAUUUAUACAUAUAGAGUUAAAAAUCAUGAGUUUGAGUUUAAAAAAAAAGAAUGAAAAUGAGUAAUGUAAAAUAAGUUAGUUAAAUAAAAUGAUGAAUAUAUUAUUAUUAUAUAAAUAUAUUGUUGAGAGUGAGAGGGGUUUGUUGUUGAGUUGAGUCCCCAAUCAGCGAGAUUCUCUCUCUCCACACUUUUCUUUUUCUGUGUGUCCGUUGGAACCAAACAGUUCUCUUUCUCUCUCCUUUCUUUGUCAAACAAACACACAGACAACACACAAACACACACUCCCUUUCAUUCUUUUUCUUCACUCUCUCCCACUCUCUCUAUCUCUUUCACACACAUUACAUUACACAACCCUUUUUCUUUUUCUUCUUCCACCGUAACAUGACCACACUCUUUACAAUCACACACCACCAUUUACGGUUAUGAAUCCCCAACCACAAACUCAACAACAACCACCACCACCACCACAACAACAACCACCUCCACCGCCACAGCUUCAACCAAACCGUCCCUCCACCUCCUGUGACAUCCACCCUCAAGAGACUUUCACAGGCUUCUGCCCUUCAUGCCUAUGCGAACGCCUCGCCGUUCUCGAUCCAAACAACAACAACAACGCCUCCUCCUCUUCCACCUCCAACCGCAAACCGCCCACUUCCUCCACUGCCGCCGCUGCACUUAAAGCCAUUUUCCGUCCUUCCACUUCCCAGCGCA